rnacentral:antisense_RNA from 1 species
UGUAAUGGUGGCUGUGCGCGGGAGAUCUUCGGGUCUGCCGGGCUCCUGUGCCCCCGGUUCGCUAACCUGCGUGCAGCCGCCACCCUA